CAGUAGCCACGGUAAUGCGUAGGGUGCAAGCGUUAUCCGGAAUGAUUGGGCGUAAAGCGUCUGUAGGUGGCUUUUCAAGUCCGCCGUCAAAUCCCAGGGCUCAACCCUGGACAGGCGGUGGAAACUACCAAGCUGGAGUACGGUAGGGGCAGAGGGAAUUUCCAGUGGAGCGGUGAAAUGCGUUGAGAUCGAAAAGAACACCAACAGCGAAAGCACUUUGCUGGGACGACACUGACACUAAGAGACGAAAGCUAGGGGAGCGAAUGGGAUUAGAUACCCCUGUAGUCCCUGUCUCUUAUAC
rnacentral:rRNA from 1 species